CCUACCGCACCCAUCCGUCCAGGAACCCUCGAGGGACCCAUGGCGGUGACAGCCCCACGAAGGUGGCAGUGGGAAGAGCCACGCGCGCUCGGCCGGGCGGUGAAGCUGCUACAGCGUCUGGAAGAGCAAUGCGGGGACCCCAGGCUGGCCGUCGGCCCCCCCUCCCUCCGGGACCUGCUGCCCCGCACCGCACAGCUACUUCAAGAGGUGGCGAAAGCCCGGCGGGCGGCCGAAGGAGGCGGCCACGAGGGUCCCGGGGGCGCUGGGGACUUUCUGAUGGUCUACCUGAGCAAUCUGGAGGCUAAAGGCAGGCAGGCUGCGGCCCUGCUGCCACCCCGAGGCAAAAAGGAUGCCAAUGAAGAGCUUUUCCGGGAGGGCUCCAGAUUUAGGCGACAGCUGGCCAAGCUGGCCCUCAUCUUCAGCCACAUGUACGCAGAGCUGAGCGCACUCUUCCCUGAGGGAAAAUACUGCGGACACCUGUACCAGCUCACCAAGGGCCCUGCCCACAUCUUCUGGAGGGAACACUGCGGCGACCGAUGUCUGCUGCCCUGGGCAGAGUUCCAGUCCCUCCUAUGCACAUGCCACCCUAUGGAACCAGGCACCACCAUUGCACAGGCCUUGCGCUCCACCAUGGACCUCACCUGCAGUGGCUAUGUGUCUGUCUUUGAGUUUGACAUUUUCACCAGACUCUUCCAGCCAUGGCCGACCCUGCUCAGGAACUGGCAGCUCCUGGCCGUCAACCACCCAGGCUACAUGGCUUUCCUCACAUAUGAUGAGGUUCAAGCUCGGCUACAGGCCUGUAGGGACAAGCCAGGCAGCUACAUCUUCCGGCCCAGCUGUACUCGCCUGGGACAGUGGGCCAUCGGGUAUGUGAGCUCCAACGGCAGCAUCCUGCAGAUCAUUCCUCUCAACAAACCCCUCUUCCAGGUGCUCCUGAAAGGACAGAAGGACGGCAUCUACCUCUACCCUGAUGGAAAGAACCACAACCCAGAUCUCACAGAGCUGUGCCAGGCAGAACCCUACCAACGCAUCCAAGUGUCAGAGGAGCAGCUCCAGCUCUACCAGGCCAUGAACUCGACAUUUGAGCUGUGCAAGAUCUGCUCCGAGAGCGACAAGGACGUGAGGAUCCAGCCCUGUGGCCAUCUCCUCUGCAGCCGCUGCCUGGCUACGUGGCAGAACUCAAACAACCAAACCUGCCCCUUCUGUCGCUGCCACAUCAAGGGCCGAGAGGCUGUGAGUAUCUGUCAGGUACAAAAGAGACCAGCAGAGGUCAGGACCACUGUAGAGAACCCAGGGGUCAGCAGUCACCAGAAGGAUGCAGAAUGGGAGCUAGAGCAGGCCACCCCCAGUGCUCCCCCACUGUCCCCUCAAUGGGAUUCAUCCCCCAGGAGACCCAAAACCCAAGGCCUGCUAACCCUGGCACCACUUGCUUUGCCCCGACUCCGAGCACCCCUUCCCCUACCAAAAAUGAGGACGGUGGCCUUAGUCCCAUGGAAUGUCAGUUCCAGCCCCCAGGCCAGGGAGGGGACCAUGGAGUAAGUAGAGAGGUCCUUCAUGACACUCUGGGACUCUGAGGUCUUAGGAAAAGGGAGACAAGAAAAGAACAGAGGGAAAGACUCAGUCCCAAGAAACCAACCCACCCGGACCUCUCCAUGGCAGAAGCUCCUAAGGGGAAACGCAUCCCUCCAGCUAGCCCUGUGGGACCCCCAUUUGUGCCCAAAGCCAGAGGCCAGGGCACCUGAACUCUCCGAGGGGACCUCUUGAGCUGGAAGGGGUGAUAAAGUCAACAUAAAUCGAAGUCUGAUCCUUCAACCCCCUGGCCUUUGAGAGAAACCAGCAGUGGCCACCAGGGGGCAGCUUGGCACUGAAGGGCUGCCUAUGUUAUGGAGCCUGGGUCCUUUACACCCCCAGAUCUUCCCACCAAAUGGAGCUCAAGCGUCCUCCAUCAGAUGUGGAGUUCUACAUUUCCAGCUCCCAGAUAACCACUCCUUCCUCAUGUCCCCCAUCCUGUAACUACAUCCUGGGGCCAGAUAGCGCCCCCCUAUUUUUUUAUGUAUAUGAGUAUAUUCCCUGCAUAUGGUAGGUGCACCCAUGUCAUGCAGUAUCCAUGGAGGUCA